CAGUAGCCACGGGAAUACAGAGGGUGCGAGCGUUAAUCGGAUUUACUGGGCGUAAAGCGUGCGUAGGCGGCUUCUUAAGUCGGAUGUGAAAUCCCUGAGCUUAAAUUAGGAAUUGCAUUCGAUACUGGGAAGCUAGAGUAUGGGAGAGGAUGGUAGAAUUCCAGGUGUAGCGGUGAAAUGCGUAGAGAUCUGGAGGAAUACCGAUGGCGAAGGCAGCCAUCUGGCCUAAUAAUGACGCUGAGGUACGAAAGCAUGGGGAGCAAACAGGAUUAGAUACCCCUGUAGUCCCUGUCUCUUAUAC
rnacentral:rRNA from 1 species